UCCCGAAUAGCUCAGCAGGUUAGAGCAUCUGACUGUUAAUCAGAGGGUCGCUGGUUCGAGCCCAGCUUCGGGAGCAA
rnacentral:tRNA from 1 species